UUCUUUGGAAAAAAAAAACCAUACGCAUGAAUGUAUCUCUGUGUAAGCAUGUAUAUAUGUCUAUAUGUUCUCUUAGAAGCCCAAACACAAUUCUGGCAUAUAGCAAGCCCGUGCAUCAUGAGAUGGCAAUCAAGCACUUGUAGAAGCACUCAACACUAUGCCAUUAUCCACAUGUUUCACAUCAAGGUUCGCAAUACCGUACCGUACCAGAGUUUCGAUCUGGGCUCGGUACCGGUACGGUACGGUAUACCGCUCGGUACACCCAGGUGUACCGAGCGGUAUAUUCAGGCGUGCCGAGCACUGUAGCAGUGUCGGAACGGUAACAUAUAGUCCGCGUACCGAAAGUCUGUCGGACCGGUACGUACCGCCCGUACCGGGCGGUACGGAUCGAUACUGCAAACCAUGUUUCACAUCCAGCAUAAAGACUACAAUCAAGAAUACAAGAAACAUGAUCGUGAAACAGAUCAAUGAGCUCACAUCUGCUAUUUCUUUCAACUUCUGAGUUGG
rnacentral:lncRNA from 1 species